rnacentral:rRNA from 1 species
AUAAUGCAGUCGAGCGGACAGAUGGGAGCUUGCUCCCUGAUGUUAGCGGCGGACGGGUGAGUAACACGUGGGUAACCUGCCUGUAAGACUGGGAUAACUCCGGGAAACCGGGGCUAAUACCGGAUGCUUGUUUGAACCGCAUGGUUCAAACAUAAAAGGUGGCUUCGGCUACCACUUACAGAUGGACCCGCGGCGCAUUAGCUAGUUGGUGAGGUAACGGCUCACCAAGGCAACGAUGCGUAGCCGACCUGAGAGGGUGAUCGGCCACACUGGGACUGAGACACGGCCCAGACUCCUACGGGAGGCAGCAGUAGGGAAUCUUCCGCAAUGGACGAAAGUCUGACGGAGCAACGCCGCGUGAGUGAUGAAGGUUUUCGGAUCGUAAAGCUCUGUUGUUAGGGAAGAACAAGUACCGUUCGAAUAGGGCGGUACCUUGACGGUACCUAACCAGAAAGCCACGGCUAACUACGUGCCAGCAGCCGCGGUAAUACGUAGGUGGCAAGCGUUGUCCGGAAUUAUUGGGCGUAAAGGGCUCGCAGGCGGUUUCUUAAGUCUGAUGUGAAAGCCCCCGGCUCAACCGGGGAGGGUCAUUGGAAACUGGGGAACUUGAGUGCAGAAGAGGAGAGUGGAAUUCCACGUGUAGCGGUGAAAUGCGUAGAGAUGUGGAGGAACACCAGUGGCGAAGGCGACUCUCUGGUCUGUAACUGACGCUGAGGAGCGAAAGCGUGGGGAGCGAACAGGAUUAGAUACCCUGGUAGUCCACGCCGUAAACGAUGAGUGCUAAGUGUUAGGGGGUUUCCGCCCCUUAGUGCUGCAGCUAACGCAUUAAGCACUCCGCCUGGGGAGUACGGUCGCAAGACUGAAACUCAAAGGAAUUGACGGGGGC